rnacentral:rRNA from 1 species
GAUGAACGCUGGCGGCGUGCCUAAUACAUGCAAGUCGAGCGAACAGACGAGGAGCUUGCUCCUCUGACGUUAGCGGCGGACGGGUGAGUAACACGUGGAUAACCUACCUAUAAGACUGGGAUAACUUCGGGAAACCGGAGCUAAUACCGGAUAAUAUAUUGAACCGCAUUGUUCAAUAGUGAAAGACGGUUUUGCUGUCACUUAUAGAUGGAUCCGCGCCGCAUUAGCUAGUUGGUAAGGUAACGGCUUACCAAGGCAACGAUGCGUAGCCGACCUGAGAGGGUGAUCGGCCACACUGGAACUGAGACACGGUCCAGACUCCUACGGGAGGCAGCAGUAGGGAAUCUUGCGCAAUGGGCGAAAGCCUGACGGAGCAACGCCGCGUGAGUGAUGAAGGUCUUCGGAUCGUAAAACUCUGUUAUUAGGGAAGAACAAAUGUGUAAGUAACUAUGCACGUCUUGACGGUACCUAAUCAGAAAGCCACGGCUAACUACGUG